CCUGGACCUGGGAAUCCUGGUUAUGGGAGAAACAGCACUAUAUAUUGAAUGCUGAUUCAAAACAUAUACAGCCAUCCACAGACAGGGUCAUCCUAUCCAGUUGAUUAUUAACUUCCUCCUGUGCUGAGGUCAUCCUUCUGGAGCACUGAUAUACCCUGAGGCAGGACAGUGCAGGUGUACUGCUGGCCUUCCCACUUAAAAGCAAACUGCUUCUGGUGGGCUUUAUUAACAGAGAGGGAGAAAAAACAUUUGCUAGAUCAAUGGCUGCGUCUGUCUUUCUGUCCAUCUGUCAUGCAUUUUAAGGCACUUUAAGGUGACACUCAAAAUGGAAAUA
rnacentral:lncRNA from 1 species